GCGUGGGGAGCAAAUAGGAUUAGAUACCCUAGUAGUCCACGCCGUAAACGAUGAGAACUAGGUGUUGGGGGAAUAACUCAGUGCCGCAGUUAACGCAGUAAGUUCUCCGCCUGGGGAGUAUGCACGCAAGUGUGAAACUCAAAGGAAUUGACGGGGGCCCGCACAAGCGGUGGAGUAUGUGGUUUAAUUCGAAGCAACGCGAAGAACCUUACCAGGCCUUGACAUCCCUUGCAGAGGUAUAGAGAUAUAUCCGAGGUUAUCAAGGAGACAGGUGGUGCAUGGUUGUCGUCAGCUCGUGUCGUGAGAUGUUGGGUUAAGUCCCGCAACGAGCGCAACCCUUGUGAUAUGUUACUAACAUUGAGUUGAGGACUCAUAUCAGACUGCCGGUGAUAAACCGGAGGAAGGUGGGGAUGACGUCAAAUCAUCAUGCCCCUUAUGGCCUGGGCUACACACGUACUACAAUGGCGUCUACAAAGAGCGGCAAGCCUGUGAAGGCAAGCGAAUCUCAUAAAGGACGUCUCAGUUCGGAUUGAAGUCUGCAACCCGACUUCAUGAAGCUGGAAUCGCUAGUAAUCGCGAAUCAGCAUGUCGCGGUGAAUACGUUCUCGGGCCUUGUACACACCGCCCGUCAAACCAUGGGAGUUGGUAAUGCCCGAAGCCGGUGGCAUAACCCUUCGGGGAGUGAGCCGUCGAAGGCAGGACCGAUGACUGGGGUUAAGUCGUAACAAGGUAUCCCUACGGGAACGUGGGGAUG
rnacentral:rRNA from 1 species